UGAGUCCAAAGUGCUGCUUUCAAGCCUGUGCAACCCCAAGAAUGGACCACCAAAAGCUCAAGCACUUGGGGCAAAGAAAACAUAGCACAGCCCACAUAUAAAGCUCAGCUCAGCUUCUGUCAGCCUUAUUCUCAACUGGGAUGUUCUCUUGCAUUUUCUGCUGCAAAUACCCUGCUGCUCAUUCUUGGCCAUUUUCCUUUACUCUCUCACCAGCCUACUUGAUCAUAUCCACGACAUCAUCACUGCCAAAACCAUCUUCUCUCCCUACAAAAACUGACCUCACUGUCCAAACAAUCAUGGCCAUUCCAGCAAGCCCCAUCAUUGUAGCAAAACCAGAGCGGUAGCACCAACAAGCACAAGGGGAGCACCAAGUAUUAAGGGUCUAAAGAUCAACAAGAGAGGUGAGGUUAUUAAAAGCAGUGUCAAGGAUGCCAGGAAACUGAGCCCUGACAUGCCAAGAAGUGGGCCGCCUGUUGUCAAGCAAGCUGCUGAUGCAUAGACCAAUGAGCUGCCUGAGAGCUUGUGAGAACCAGCAGAGAGCUGCUGUUGUCUUGGGUGAUGACUAGGAUCUGCCAUUGAUUGGUGUGUUACAUCUCUUUGGUUUGGGUUCUCACUGGCCCUGUGGGGUGGGGGGUGUUAACGUGUUAGGUCAUGAGACUCACCAGGCAGGUGUUUCAGUCAGUCAGUCAGUCGCACGUUGCUCACCAGGUGGACAACACAAGCCUACAAAAAUUUCCUCAUCCAGUGGCAAUGGCACCAUUUUCAGCGUCGCAAUGUGCCAACCGGUGCAUCAAUGCCAGUAAUCAUAUCUAUCCAUAAUGCUAUAGAAAUAAACAGAAAUGAAAAGGGGCUAGUGUUUGUCACGUGAAGCGAAAGGUUUUUUUUUUCCAUGACAAAACAUUAUUUCAUGUUAUUAUGAUAUCACAAGUAAAAGACAGAGAAAUAGAUUAAAAAUUUUCAAUAAACGAAUACUUGGCGUAACAUCACUUAAGAGAGCAUCUAAAGCUGGAGGCAGAGAUCUCCAAAAUAUCCAGGUGCAAAUUCGUUGACAACUCAAAUUUCAAUUAAUACAAAAU